rnacentral:rRNA from 1 species
GACGAACGCUGGCGGCGUGCUUAACACAUGCAAGUCGAGCGGUAAGGCCCUUUCGGGGGUACGACGAGCGGCGAACGGGUGAGUAACACGUGGGUGACCUGCCCUCAGCUCUGGGAUAAGCCUGGGAAACCGGGUCUAAUACCGGAUAUGACUCCAUGACGCAUGUUGUGGGGUGGAAAGCCUUGUGCGGCUGAGGAUGGGCCCGCGGCCUAUCAGCUUGUUGGUGGGGUGANGGCCUACCAAGGCGACGACGGGUAGCCGGCCUGAGAGGGCGACCGGCCACACUGGGACUGAGACACGGCCCAGACUCCUACGGGAGGCAGCAGUGGGGAAUCUUGCGCAAUGGGCGAAAGCCUGACGCAGCGACGCCGCGUGAGGGAUGACGGCCUCGGUUGUAA